ACAUGUAUGCCCAGGUUACUUGCUGCUCUACAUGUGACCUUGCCAUACAUGUUC
rnacentral:pre_miRNA from 1 species